CAACAAUCAAUAAUGAAGACAUGCCUGUUCUAUCGCUAAUGGAAUAUUCCUAAAGUACCUGUUUCGAGGAGUUAAGGUCUGGAAGUCUGCUUUCAUUAUGAAAUUUGCUGUACUUGCCAUAAUGCUUUUGGUUACUGUGCCUGAAACUCACUCUGGCCGUCACUAUCAUGGAAGCUACUCUGACAGUGAUGAGAGGUUCUAUCUUGCCCCGAUCCCAACAUUUCACUGGUAUCGACCGAGGCCAGUGCCUCCCCGGCUUCAGUUCCCUCUCUGGCCCUUCUUCCCUGGGUUACUGCCCCAGCCGGCCCCUGCUCCUAUCCCAGCACCAAGACCUGGACCAAGUCCCAGCCAGAUCACCACUGCCCCCGCCACCACUAGUAACAGGGGAGAUAACGGAUAAACAGGACCCAUCUCAGAACCGGACCAAUACCAACCCAAUGGAUCUUCUUUUGGGCUAUAUGUUUUUAUUCUAAAAUCACAAUAGUACAUUCAAUAACAACAUAUUAUACUUUAUUGAUAAAAU